GAUGAAGAACGCAGCGAAAUGCGAUAAGUAAUGUGAAUUGCAGAAUUCAGUGAAUCAUCGAAUCUUUGAACGCACAUUGCGCCCGCCAGUAUUCUGGCGGGCAUGCCUGUCUGAGCGUCAUUUCAACCCUCAUGCCCCUAGGGCGUGGUGUUGGGGAUCGGCCAAAGCCCUCGAGGGACGGCCGGCCCCUAAAUCUAGUGGCGGACCCGUCGUGGCCUCCUCUGCGAAGUAGUGAUAUUCCGCAUCGGAGAGCGACGAGCCCCUGCCGUUAAACCCCCAACUUUCCAAGGUUGACCUCAGAUCAGGUAGGAAUACCCGCUGAACUUAAGCAUAUCAAUAAGCGGAGGA
rnacentral:misc_RNA from 1 species